CUUUUUUCCAGUGUGUUUUCCAUCUUCCUGCUACUUAAUCAUAAAUUGCACACACAGACUGACCCAAAGCAACUCUCCUCUAUAGGACAUAUCCAGCAACAGCACUCAACAUCCGUGUGGCCUAGAAGAUCUGCUUACAUCCAGAGACAACAUCAGUGUCUAAACACCUCUGUCAAACUUAUUAACACAUGCAAGACCUCACCUGCUGCACUGCUGUAAAAUGGGGAGACAUCUGGGUCAGCAAUUCACAGGUGGAGAAGGGAUCAUCAUUCUGGUGUUCUGCCAAGAGCUGCACCUUCCACUGAGAGGUUUCACACAGACUGCUCACUUACUAAAGUGAUCAAUAACAACCACAGGAUGCGCAGGGCAGUUGUG
ensembl:lncRNA